CUUAUACUCCCUUCCGUCCCAAGAUUCUUGUCUUAAGUUUGUUUAAAAAUGAAUGUAUUUAAAUACUAAAACGUGACUAGAUACAUUCAUAUCUAAACAAUUUUAAAACAAAAAAUUUAGGACGGAGGGAGUAUUAU
rfam:Hordeum vulgare subsp. vulgare, WGS project CAJW01000000 data, contig: morex_contig_1580885